UGCUCUCUUAUGUGAAGAGAGGUCGACCAUCAUAAAAAUACAGGAUUGUAAGUGGCUCCAAAUGCAGAUGGUGAGUACCAUCUGCAUGUACCUAGCGGAUGAGGUGGUGAUCCAUGACUUAGCGAGAUUUCUCCGACGGUGCUGUGGUCGAAGCUCGAAGAGUUGUACAUGACGAAAUCUCUCAUCAACACUCUUUUCCUCUGAAGAUAGUUCUACUAGCUAUAGAUGACUGAGGGGCA
rnacentral:lncRNA from 1 species